rnacentral:rRNA from 1 species
UACGAAGGGGGCUAGCGUUGCUCGGAAUCACUGGGCGUAAAGCGCACGUAGGCGGCUUUUUAAGUCAGGGGUGAAAUCCUGGAGCUCAACUCCAGAACUGCCUUUGAUACUGAGAAGCUUGAGUCCGGGAGAGGUGAGUGGAACUGCGAGUGUAGAGGUGAAAUGCAUUGAGAUCGGAAAGAACACCAACGGCGAAAGCACGCGGCUGGGCAGACACUGACACUGAGAGACGAAAGAUAGGGGAGCAA